rfam:Felis catus breed Abyssinian Contig2102.1, whole genome shotgun sequence. [26-MAY-2016]
ACCUGGGUGGCUCAGUUGGUUGAGCGUCUGACUUCGGCUCAGGUCGUGAUCUCCCAGCUUGUGAGUUCGAGCCCCGCAUCAGGCU